rnacentral:rRNA from 1 species
GAUGAACGCUGGCGGCGUGCCUAAUACAUGCAAGUCGAGCGAACGGACGAGAAGCUUGCUUCUCUGAUGUUAGCGGCGGACGGGUGAGUAACACGUGGAUAACCUACCUAUAAGACUGGGAUCACUUCGGGAAACCGGAGCUAAUACCGGAUAAUAUUUUGAACCGCAUGGUUCAACAGUGAAAGACGGUCUUGCUGUCACUUAUAGAUGGAUCCGCGCUGCAUUAGCUAGUUGGUAAGGUAACGGCUUACCAAGGCAACGAUGCAUAGCCGACCUGAGAGGGUGAUCGGCCACACUGGAACUGAGACACAGUCCAGACUCCUACGGGAGGCAGCAGUAGGGAAUCUUCCGCAAUGGGCGAAAGCCUGACGGAGCAACGCCGCGUGAGUGAUGAAGGUCUUCGGAUCGUAAAACUCUGUUAUUAGGGAAGAACAUAUGUGUAAGUAACUGUGCACAUCUUGACGGUACCUAAUCAGAAAGCCACGGCUAACUACGUG